GACGAACGCUGGCGGCGUGCUUAACACAUGCAAGUCGAACGGUAAGGCCCUUCGGUGUACACGAGUGGCGAACGGGUGAGUAACAAGUGGGUUAUCUGCCUUGCACUUCGGGAUAAGCCUGGGAAACUGGGACUAAUACAGAAUAGGACCCUAGGAUUCAUGUCCUGGGGUGGAAAGCUUUUGCGGUGUGUGAUGGGACCGCGGCUUAGCAGCUUGUUGGGGGGGUGAUGGCCUACAAAGGCGACGCAGGGUAGCUGGGACGAGAGGGUGACCGGCCAGACUGGGGUGGAGCUACGGCACGGCCUCCGGCGGGAGGCAGCGGUGGGGAAGAUUGCACUGUGGGAGAGAGCUGGAUGUACCGACGCCGCGUUGGGGGUGACGGCAUGCUGGUUGUAAACCUCUGUCAGCACCGACGAAGCGCAAGUGACGGUAGGUGCAGAAGAAGGACCGGCCAACUACGUGCCAGCCGCCGCCGUAA
rnacentral:rRNA from 1 species